GGGUUGGGGUGGGGGAGUGGUCAGAAAGAGGAAGAAUUUGGCUGACCAUUGGCCUCGCCUCCAUUCCUCCCUGGGGACUCUGACCACAUCCUGGCUCAGCUGGGAGCGCGCUGUGACACGGUGAUUGGUGAGGAAUGAGCUGGUGAGCGAUUGCUGGAUGCUGACCAGAAGAACGAGGUCUAAGAUGACCGGCAAUAACUGGACAAAGCCUAGGGGAGCCUUGGGCUCAGCAAGAGAGCCGUGCUGCCAGUUUCUGCCCAGCCACGGACCAGCCGGGUGACCUUGGUCCUUGGUCGGGUUGCGUGAUGUCUCAGGGCAUCAUUCGCCCCAUCUGUAAAAUGGGUAACAAGCUUACAGGGUCUAUACCAUCACCCGUGCAGAGCUGCCUGGAAGAGUCAGUGUUCCACGAACUUCAUGCCGUGGUUCUCCUCCAGCCCCUCCAUCAUCUUGCUUAGCGUGGCUUGGAGUUCACUCCUUCCCCACCUCUCCUUUUUGUCCCCUCCUCACCCCCAAGGCUCUGCUCCUGGAAUAGAUCUUGACAACCGUG